AUUGAACGCUGGCGGCAGGCCUAACACAUGCAAGUCGAGCGGAUGAAGGGAGCUUGCUCCUGGAUUCAGCGGCGGACGGGUGAGUAAUGCCUAGGAAUCUGCCUGGUAGUGGGGGAUAACGUCCGGAAACGGGCGCUAAUACCGCAUACGUCCUGAGGGAGAAAGUGGGGGAUCUUCGGACCUCACGCUAUCAGAUGAGCCUAGGUCGGAUUAGCUAGUUGGUGGGGUAAAGGCCUACCAAGGCGACGAUCCGUAACUGGUCUGAGAGGAUGAUCAGUCACACUGGAACUGAGACACGGUCCAGACUCCUAAGGGAGGCAGCAGUGGGGAAUAUUGGACAAUGGGCGAAAGCCUGAUCCAGCCAUGCCGCGUGUGUGAAGAGGGUCUUCGGAUUGUAAAGCACUUUAAGUUGGGAGGAAGGGCAGUAAGUUAAUACCUUGCUGUUUUGACGUUACCAACAGAAUAAGCACCGGCUAACUUCGUG
rnacentral:rRNA from 1 species